UGUGGGUUGAUGUAAUAGUAACAUAACUGGCUCAUGCCCAGUAAAUAGAGGUGCAAAUCCUUUGUCCACAC
rfam:Rachicladosporium sp. CCFEE 5018 scaffold_2044, whole genome shotgun sequence.